AGAUAUGCGUUGAUGCAGGAGGUGGCCGCUCUCAGAAGCGGGAAAUUUCUGCGGAGUAUGUCCGAUUUUCAAACCGGGCGA
rfam:Clostridium sp. CAG:413 genomic scaffold, scf12